rnacentral:rRNA from 1 species
GAUAAACGCUGGCGGCGUGCCUAAUACAUGCAAGUCGAGCGAACGGACGAGAAGCUUGCUUCUCUGAUGUUAGCGGCGGACGGGUGAGUAACACGUGGAUAACCUACCUAUAAGACUGGGAUAACUUCGGGAAACCGGAGCUAAUACCGGAUAAUAUUUUGAACCGCAUGGUUCAAAAGUGAAAGACGGUCUUGCUGUCACUUAUAGAUGGAUCCGCGCUGCAUUAGCUAGUUGGUAAGGUAACGGCUUACCAAGGCAACGAUGCAUAGCCGACCUGAGAGGGUGAUCGGCCACACUGGAACUGAGACACGGCCCAGACUCCUACGGGAGGCAGCAGUAGGGAAUCUUCCGCAAUGGGCGAAAGCCUGACGGAGCAACGCCGCGUGAGUGAUGAAGGUCUUCGGAUCGUAAAACUCUGUUAUUAGGGAAGAACAUAUGUGUAAGUAACUGUGCACAUCUUGACGGUACCUAAUCAGAAAGCCACGGCUAACUACGUGCCAGCAGCCGCGGUAAUACGUAGGUGGCAAGCGUUAUCCGGAAUUAUUGGGCGUAAAGCGCGCGUAGGCGGUUUUUUAAGUCUGAUGUGAAAGCCCACGGCUCAACCGUGGAGGGUCAUUGGAAACUGGAAAACUUGAGUGCAGAAGAGGAAAGUGGAAUUCCAUGUGUAGCGGUGAAAUGCGCAGAGAUAUGGAGGAACACCAGUGGCGAAGGCGACUUUCUGGUCUGUAACUGACGCUGAUGUGCGAAAGCGUGGGGAUCAAACAGGAUUAGAUACCCUGGUAGUCCACGCCGUAAACGAUGAGUGCUAAGUGUUAGGGGGUUUCCGCCCCUUAGUGCUGCAGCUAACGCAUUAAGCACUCCGCCUGGGGAGUACGACCGCAAGGUUGAAACUCAAAGGAAUUGACGGGGACCCGCACAAGCGGUGGAGCAUGUGGUUUAAUUCGAAGCAACGCGAAGAACCUUACCAAAUCUUGACAUCCUUUGACAACUCUAGAGAUAGAGCCUUCCCCUUCGGGGGACAAAGUGACAGGUGGUGCAUGGUUGUCGUCAGCUCGUGUCGUGAGAUGUUGGGUUAAGUCCCGCAACGAGCGCAACCCUUAAGCUUAGUUGCCAUCAUUAAGUUGGGCACUCUAAGUUGACUGCCGGUGACAAACCGGGGGAAGGUGGGGAUGACGUCAAAUCAUCAUGCCCCUUAUGAUUUGGGCUACACACGUGCUACAAUGGACAAUACAAAGGGCAGCGAAACCGCGAGGUCAAGCAAAUCCCAUAAAGUUGUUCUCAGUUCGGAUUGUAGUCUGCAACUCGACUACAUGAAGUUGGAAUCGCUAGUAAUCGUAGAUCAGCAUGCUACGGUGAAUACGUUCCCGGGUCU